rnacentral:tmRNA from 1 species
GGGGAUGAUCGGCUUCGACAAGAAGUUUUCGUACGUAUGUGCGUAGCGGAAGUGGCGUAACUUCCUAAAAAUGCGCUGAACCUACAAGUGCAAACAAAACUGCACGCGGAAUCCUCUCACCUAUCCAGGCGAAGGACUUCCAGUUCGCUUACGCAAUAGCCUAAGCGACCGUCGCACUGCCCGAUGUCCGGCAACGGCAGAUGCGGCGUCAUAGGUUUCGGACUCGAACAAAGAGUCGUCCGGCUCUGCGUUUUAAAUCUAAGGACUCGGCUUCGCGCGAUUUUGUUUGUUUUAUACUCGCGAAGUUUAAAUCAAAAAAGCAAACUACGCUUCGUAGAUGCAUGCAUACGGUCUUCCUUGCACGCGGGUUCGAUUCCCGCCAUCUCCACCA